rnacentral:rRNA from 1 species
CCUGCAUGUCUAAGUCCAGCUGUUUGUUCGUGGGUGUGAAAGCACUCGCGCGAACGGCGAAACCGCGGACGGCUCAUUAAAUCAGUUGUGGUCCAAAUGGGCUAGAGUUAUCUUACUUGGAUAACUGUGGUAAUUCCAGAGCUAAUACAUGCAACAUAUAAGUCCGAAUGGCUUCUGCCGUAACGACUGCUUUUAUUAGACCAAACCGCURAGGGUGCGUCAGCAAUGACCCCCGAGACUCGUGGAAUGGUGACUCUGGAUAACCAAUCUUUAKGACAAGCGCACGUAUCCAUUAAUAUGGGACGGCGCUACCACUUUCGAGUGUCUGCCUUAUCAGCUAUGUAUCGUUUGUUAUGUGCCACCGAUGGCUUUGACGGGUAACGGGGAAUCAGUGUUCGAUUCCGGAGAGGCAGCCUGAGAAACGGCUACCACGUCCAAGGACGGCAGCAGGCACGCAAAKUACCCAAUCCCAGCUACUGGGGGAGGUAGUGACGAAAUCUAACGAUGCGGGCGCCCCAUCUGGGGCCCCGCAAUCGGAAUGAGCAUUUUCUUUCUAAACACCCUGUUGAGAACCCACUGAAGGGCAAGUCUGGUGCCCAGCAGCCGCGGUAAUUCCAGCUUCAGCAGCAUAUACUAAAGUUGCUGCGGUUAAAAGGGCUCGCAGUUGAAUGUCAGUACCGAGUGUAGCGAUGGUGGACGUUGGGGGUGCGAUUGAAUGGGCCCUCGCGUUACGGUGGUGCUCGCUCCCUCUCAUUCGGCGCAUUACGCUUUGUGUGUGUGGCUUCGCGCUGCCUCCUGGUUCUUGUGUUGGAUGUUGAGGUUGUGUUUAUUACUACGCGCGGGUGCGCUCGUUCGUCGCAUGAAUAGCCCCCGUCCGUAAACAGCCUCCUCACUCGCGUACAAAGUUGAGAUCGGAAUGUUUUGUACGAAGCGCGUGGUGCGGAGAGCUCGUUCUUUAUUCUCUCUCUCCGCUCUCUCUCUCACGAGGGUUAGUUGGCUGAGUUUGGGUGGGUGCGUGUUUCUCCAAUCCGUUAAACGCGUGGAUAUGGACUUGGUUUCAAGGUUACCCUGAGUAAAUUGGAGUGCUCAAAGCAGUCGUAAGGAGCGAUCGGCUCACGCCGUACGUUCUGCGAUGAAUGUCUUUAUUGACAGACGGUCUUUGUUUUGCAUGGUAUGUCGAAAGACGCCGUAUAUUUCCUGUUGGUAACGAGUCUCGUGCGGGCUGCGUGGGUGCUCAAACUCGAGGCAAAGCUUUGCGGCUGCGCCGAAGGUGCGACGCGCUCACGCACGUAUGGGACCAACAGGUGCGGAAUGAUUAAAAGGUUCGGUCGAAGGCAAUGGUAUUGCGAGGCGAGAGGUGAAAUUCUAUGACCCCCGCAAGACCUCCUGAAGCGAAAGCGUCUGCCAAGGACGUUUCAUUAAUCGAGCCUGGCGGGCUUAAUUUGACUCAACACGGGCCAUCUCACCAGGCCAGCACUCUUGAACGAUUGACAGAUUGAAAGUUCUUUCUCGAUUCAGUGGAUGGUGGUGCAUGGCCGUUCUUAGUUGGUGGAGUGAUCUGUCUGGUUAAUUCCGAUAACGAACGAGACUCUCCCCUGUUAACUAGUCGGUUGGAUCUUGCGUCUGGAGAGUUGUGUUUUUUAUCUCGAGCUAUCGCUCUUGUUCGUGCCGCAUCGUCGGGGUGCCUUUGCGCGCAUUUGGCUUAACGGCUCUGUGUGUGUGAGAGUGCUUUCGGUGUAUGUUCGGUGCUUACUCGUGGUGUCUUAGUGCGGGUUUCUUUCACACUCCAAGUCCUCCGCUUAUUCAUACUAUACGUGUGAUGUCUUACGGCAAAGCUAUAUAAAUGUGUAAAACUCUUCUUAGAGGGAUUCACGGUUCUGAAACCGUAAGAAACUGAGAGCAAUAACAGGUCUGUGAUGCCCUUAGAUGUUCUGGGCCGCACGCGCGCUACAAUGCCGGGCUCAGCAGGUAUUUAUCCUUCUCCGAGAGGAGUGGGUAAUCCUCUGAAAGCCCUUCAAACAUUAUUAACAAAGGGAUGCGCUCGCUUAUGUGAGUGUAUCUCUUCUAUGGCUUGCUUGGGCCUGGGUCUUGCAAUUCUUUCCCACAAACGAGGAAUGCCUAGUAGCGGCGGAUCACUGAGUUCGCUGUGACUCAGUCCCUGCCCUUUGUACACACCGCCCGUCGCUACUACCGAUUGGGUGUACCAGUGAGAUCUUUGGACUGGCGAGCCUCGUUGUUCUUCAUUGAGCGCGAGUGUGUACGACGGGAAGAGGCUCGAACUGGUGCACUUAGAGGAAGUAAAAGUC